AUAGGAAGGAUAUGGAAAGGAAGUUCUUUCUAUCAAGUUCAUGCAAUUUGUUCCUUUCAACACGAAAACAUCCUCAGGAAGCAAAGCAAUGGUUUUCUACCUCCAGGUUAAUACUGUCCCUGCUGGCCUAAACUCAGUGAAACUCCUUUUCACCAAGUCCACUGGAUUUAGGAGGUUUUAGCACAAAAUGUGUAUUUGUGUGAGGCUUUUCCUGCAUGAAAGGAGGCAUCUCUACAUGGCACACCUGACUUCUACUGAUAUCAAGAAGGACUCAAGAGCUCUGGAGAAUGCAUUACCCAUGCCACCAAGGAAAGUUGAUAUCAAAAUUAGCUCCUUUGCUGCACUCAGGGGCUGUGAUUAAUUGCUUGUUAGCAAGAUGUUCAAAGUACCACGAUUUAUGAGAGUUUGAUCAGGCAGAUUAUGGAAUAUAACAUUUCAAUAAAUUCAUAGUUACUAUAGAUAUAUGUUACAAUGAUAAAUAGGUCAAGCUACUAUAGACAUUUUAGAUCCAAUAAAGUUAUUUUUAGAAUGUG